rnacentral:rRNA from 1 species
AUUUAAAUUCAUUUGGUAAUAAUAAUUUUUAAUAAAACCUUUAUAUUUUGGCGGCAUUUAAUUUAAUUAGAGGAACCUGUCUUUUAAUCGAUAAUCCACGUUAAUUUUCACUUAAAUUAUAAGCUUUUAUACCACCAUCUAAAGAAUUAAUUAUAAAAUAUUAUUCUAAAUAAUUUUAUAAAAAGUUAGGUAAAGGUAUAGUUUAUAUAUAAGAUUUGAUGUGUUACAUUAAAUAAAAUUUAAUUUAAAAUUAUCAAAAUAUUUUAAUUUUAGAAUUUAAAAGUAAUAUAAUAAUAAUAAUAAUUUAUGAAUUAAAAAAAAAAUGUGU